rnacentral:rRNA from 1 species
AGAGUUUGAUCAUGGCUCAGAGCGAACGCUGGCGGCAGGCUUAACACAUGCAAGUCGAGCGGGCGUAGCAAUACGUCAGCGGCAGACGGGUGAGUAACGCGUGGGAACAUACCUUUUGGUUCGGAACAACACAGGGAAACUCGUGCUAAUACCGGAUAAGCCCUUACGGGGAAAGAUUUAUCGCCGAAAGAUUGGCCCGCGUCUGAUUAGCUAGUUGGUGAGGUAAUGGCUCACCAAGGCGACAGAUGCAUAGCUGGUCUGAGAGGAUGAUCAGCCACACUGGGACUGAGACACGGCCCAGACUCCUACGGGAGGCAGCAGCCAGGAAUCUUGGGCAAUGGGCGCAAGCCUGACCCAGCAACACCGUGUGGGCGAUGAAGGCCUUCGGGUCGUAAAGCCCUGUUGAUAGGGACG